UUGAUAGAAACCAAAAAGAGGUAUAUCACUGUUAAUGAUAAAAUUGAAUUAAUAUUUCCUAUCAAG
rnacentral:tRNA from 1 species